AAUACGGGCAAACGUGGAUUGCGGAGGGCUGCCUCGGUGGCCAAUAUUGGGGAGCCUGCGGAUUGUGUGCGGAAGCGGUUACCGUGAAGCAAUCACACAUUCCGGUUUGAAAGAGAUUGCUGUUACUCUGUUACUUAUUACUCGUGACUCAUUGUCGGCGUUGACAUUCAAUUUAGCGAGUGUUUGACUUUUGUCAUAUAUCAAAUUAGUUGACACAUUAAAAUGUUAAUAUGCUCUAGAAAGUUUUCGAAUAACAAACGGGAUAUCAACACGUAAAAGCAGUUUUAAUUAUGUCUACUAUAAUAUAGUAGCGGAAAUCGAAGAAGAUACUAAAAUUUGAAAUAUCUAAGUGAACCGAAUCCGGUGUUUAUACAUUCAUAUCUUCGUUGCUAAUGCGGUAUUUGUAUCGGUUCAAAUGCUGAACGUUUUGCCGCGCCAAAUACAAGCGGUAGAGAACAAAAUAAUUGGAGAGGCAAAUGUACGUGCGCUCGAAGCAUUCCUUAAUAAUCCAAAAUUUUACUUACACGCACGGAGAUUGAAUCGUGAUAAUUUAAAGAAACUUAAAGUCGUCUCCAAGGUCUCGAGUAACGUACUGAGAAACGAAGAUGAUAAAGCUGUUGGCGUUCCGUAUUCACCUCACUUAUCUAAUUUUGAGGCGACCAUUGAAAACGAACUGAAAAAUUCUUUGUCAAACAAAAACUCGGCUUUAUAUGAUCGUCCAUACCUUGAAAAGAAAGGUAAGAACGACUACCUUGUAAUCAAACCGGAGCUAUUGGAUCCUUUCGUGACUGUGAUACCUAACGCUAUACACUACAACAUUGAGAAGAAAUGCGUGAACUGGUUGGAUGAUUGCAGCCUGAAGGGCAUACGGGCGAAGCUGUUGAGAGGUGUUCACUCUCCUUUUAAAUAAACUUUUUAAUCAACUUGAUCUCUAUAGCCCUCGGCUAGAUAUUACCUGUUCUUGUUAUGAAAAGCGAUAUGCAUCAUUAAAAUAACAGCGCUUUUUGUA